UACGGGGGGGGCAAGCGUUGUUCGGAAUUACUGGGCGUAAAGGGCUCGUAGGCGGCCAACUAAGUCAGACGUGAAAUCCCCAGGCUUAACCUGGGAACUGCGUCUGAUACUGGAUGGCUUGAAUUCGGGAGAGGGAUGCAGAAUUCCAGGUGUAGCGGUGAAAUGCGUAGAUAUCAGGAGGAACACCCGUGGCGAAAGCGGCUCUCUGGGACGGUACUGACGCUGAGACGCGAAAGCGUGGGGAGCAAACAGG
rnacentral:rRNA from 1 species